GCCCGGCUGGCGCAAUCGGUAGCGCGCAAGACUUCUAUCUCCUUCGAGAUCGCAAUCUUGAGGCUGUGGGUUCGAGUCCCACGUUGGGCU